UUUUUAAUCAGGCAGGACCUGGAAGGGGAGUGACUCCAAACAUGUCUGGUCCCGGUUUUAAUGGUGCUGGACCAAUAGGAAGAGGUGCUCCUCCUGAUAAGAGUACAGGGGGUUGGGUUCCUCCUAGAAAUAAUGGACCUCUUGGUAAAGCCCCUUCAAGGGGAGAGCAGAAUGAUUACUCCCAGAAUUUUGUAGAUACUGGUAUGCGACCCCAGAAUUUUAUUAGAGAGUUGGAGCUUACCAAUGUUGUAGAGGAUUACCCCAAACUCAGGGAGCUUAUACAGAAAAAGGAUGAGAUUGUGGCUAAAUCUGCCUCUGCGCCUAUGUAUUUGAAAUGUGACCUGCAUGAGUUUGACUUCUCUCCUGAAUUUUUUGGGACCAAGUUUGAUGUAAUCCUGGUGGACCCCCCUUGGGAAGAAUAUGUUCAUCGGGCUCCUGGUGUAGCUGACCAUAUGGAGUAUUGGACAUUUGAAGAAAUAUUAAAUCUCAAGAUUGAGGCAAUAGCUGAUACACCUUCUUUUAUCUUCCUCUGGGUGGGUGAUGGCGUGGGACUUGAGCAAGGUCGUCAAUGUUUAAAGAAGUGGGGANNNNGAGAUGUGAGGAUAUUUGUUGGGUGAAGACCAACAAAAGUAAUGCAACUCCAGGGUUGCGGCAUGAUUCUCACACACUGUUUCAGCACUCAAAGGAACACUGCUUGAUGGGUAUAAAGGGAACAGUUCGUCGCAGCACUGAUGGUCAUAUAAUCCAUGCAA
rnacentral:misc_RNA from 1 species